CACGCCCCCUCUGACAGCUUGGUGCGGUGCUCUGAAAUGACAGAAAGAGGACAUCAGACUCUCUGGAUAACACCUCGCCUGUUUGGACUGAAGAUCUGGCCGGAACAGCAUUAAAGAUUCAUCCCCCAAAGGACAAGCCCAGCCUUGGCUAGUGUACUCACAAAUAAAUCAAUGUGAUUUCUUCAUCACCUCUUCAUCUCCUCCAACGCCAAACUGAAAAUGCAAUGCUAAUCAAAGCUCGCCAUCACUGAAACUGAUUUCCUGCUUGCUUUUAAUGUGGAGCACGUCGGCAAAUUUGCAUAUUUGCA